UUGGAGGGCAAGUCUGGUGCCAGCAGCCGCGGUAAUUCCAGCUCCAAUAGCGUAUAUUAAAGUUGUUGCAGUUAAAAAGCUCGUAGUUGAAUUUCGGGAUUGACACAUCGGUCGUGCCUUAAGGGGCGUGAACUGGUGUAGUCAAUUUCUCACCUUCUGGAGAACCGCGAUGCCCUUAAUUGGGUGUCACGGGGAACCAGGACCUUUACUUUGAAAAAAUUAGAGUGUUUAAAGCAGGCAUUUUGCUUGAAUACAUUAGCAUGGAAUAAUAAAAUAGGACGG
rnacentral:rRNA from 1 species